GAUGAACGCUGGCGGCGUGCCUAAUACAUGCAAGUCGAGCGAACAGACGAGGAGCUUGCUCCUCUGACGUUAGCGGCGGACGGGUGAGUAACAUGUGGAUAACCUACCUAUAAGACUGGGAUAACUUCGGGAAACCGGAGCUAAUACCGGAUAAUAUAUUGAACCGCAUGGUUCAAUAGUGAAAGACGGUUUUGCUGUCACUUAUAGAUGGAUCCGCGCCGCAUUAGCUAGUUGGUAAGGUAACGGCUUACCAAGGCAACGAUGCGUAGCCGACCUGAGAGUGGGGUCGGCCACACUGGAACUGAGACACGGACCAGACCCCUACGGGAGGCAGAAGGAGGGAAUCUUCCGCAAGGGGCGAAAGCCUGACGGAGCAACGCCGGGUGAGUGAUGAAGGUCUUCGGAUCGUAAAACUCUUUUAUUGGGGAAAAACAAAUGUGUAAGUAACUAUGCACGUCUGGACGGUACCUAAUCAGAAAGCCACGGCUAACUACGU
rnacentral:rRNA from 1 species